UGUCACUGCCACCAGGGAGCCUUCUCUACCACUACUCCUCACCAAUCCCCCCACCAACCAGCUGGAUUAGAUCUCCUGCCCAAUGCUCCUGCUGCAUCCCUCAUUUCUCCAUCAUCGUAACCAGCACCCCUGUAACUCAAUGUUGGCUUGUAUUCCCCACUCGACUGUCAGCAUCAAGAAGUCAAGGACAGUCUCAAGUACUGCUGGAGACACUGAACACAGUGCCUGGCACAAAAGAGCCUCCUGCCAUGUGAGGACACAGCAUUCCCCGCUCUGUAGGAUGCAGCAAUAGGACGCCAUCCUGGAAGCAGAGAGCAACUGUCACAGACAACUGAACUUGCCAGUACCUUGCUCUUGGACAUCUCAGCCUCCAGACUGUGAGAAACAAGAAACCAGAUGUCCAAAGAAGCGAUGUUGCCAAGGCCACAGCAAGUUGACUGGCAAAGCUGGGACUAGUACACCGCAUUCUGAC